rnacentral:rRNA from 1 species
UACGUAGGCAGCAAGCGUUGUUCGGAAUUACUGGGCGUAAAGAGUGUGUAGGCGGUGCUCUAAGUUCGGUGUGAAAUCUCCUGGCUCAACUGGGAGGGUGCGCCGGAAACUGGCGAACUGGAGUGUGGCAGAGGGGGGUGGAAUUCCGCGUGUAGCAGUGAAAUGCGUAGAUAUCGGGAGGAACACCUGUGGCGAAAGCGGCUCACUGGACCACAACUGACGCUGAGGCGCGAAAGCUAGGGGAGCAAACAGG